UAGAAAAGGCUGCCCUGGUUGUACCCUUGCAAUGCUGAAUUCCCAGCCUUCGUGCUGGAGGCCGUGCCUUCGCUCUGGCGCUGUGAGCAGGCAGGAAAGGAGGCUGACGUUCUUGGCUGGGAGCACUGUGUGCAGAUAAACUCCUGUGGUCUUAGCAACAUGUUGCUUUGUGCUGUAAAUGUUUGCGGUUAACUUGCGAACACGACAGCCAGCAAUCUGCCCUGUCCAUCUGCACAUAGCCACCUUCUGGAGUCAAAACUUGGUGGAUGCGUUUCCUGCCUCAUCCCUUUUGUGACUCUUUUCCCCACCUCCGCAUACAUCUGUAGGGAUCUAGCAAGCACGGCAAUUUCCUUGGCACACACCAUACUUCACUGAACUACUGCAACCUUCUACAAUUUGCCCCAAUUGGAGGAAGGCUUAGAGGAGAAAAAAAUUAAAAGACAAGAGAUGAGUGAUCCCCAAAUUUGGCUUCUUGCAUUUCCAACUUCAAGUUCACUACUGUUUCCAUACAGGUGGUUUCAUCCGAACAUCAAUGGAAUCGAAGCAGAGAAAUUGCUGCUCACCAGAGGCGUCCAUGGGAGCUUUUUGGCCCGGCCCAGUAAAAGCAACCCAGGAGACUUUACGCUAUCAGUCAGGAGGAAUGACGAAGUGACUCACAUCAAAAUCCAGAAUACUGGGGACUACUAUGACCUCUAUGGAGGGGAGAAGUUUGCCACUUUGUCUGAACUGGUCCAGUACUACACCGAACAGCAGGGUCUCUUGCGGGAGAAGAAUAGCAACAUCAUUGAGCUCAAGUUUCCUCUGAAUUGCCAGGAUCCCACCUCGGAAAGAUGGUACCAUGGUCAUCUGACGGGCAAAGAGGCCGAGAAACUCCUCACAGAGAAAGGCAAACCAGGGAGUUUUUUGGUGCGCAGUAGCCAAAGCAAACCUGGUGACUUCGUCUUGUCGGUACUGACAAAUGAAGACAAAGCUGACACAGGGGACCGGAAGCCCCGGGUGACCCACAUCAUGAUCCGCUAUCAGCCAGAUGGAAAGUAUGAUGUGGGAGGCGGCGAGCGUUUUGACACCCUCACGGACUUGGUGGAGCACUAUAAGAAAAACCCCAUGGUGGAGAAAUCGGGGGCCGUUGUGCACCUGAAACAGCCCUUUAAUGCCACGCGAAUCAUUGCGGCCAACAUCGAAAACCGAGUGAAGGAGUUGAACAAAAUGGCGGACCACAGCGAGAAGGCCAAGCAAGGCUUCUGGGAGGAGUUUGAGAUGUUGCAGCAACAGGAGUGUAAAUUUCUCUACCCCCGGAAAGAAGGACAGCGGAUGGAAAACAAAGCCAAGAACCGCUACAAGAACAUCCUUCCUUUUGACACAACACGAGUCGCUCUUCGGGAAGUGGACGAGAGUCUUCCAGGCUCCGACUACAUCAAUGCCAAUUAUAUUCGGAACAUUGCUGAAGAUGGCCAAAGCUCUGAGCACAGCAAAGUCUACAUUGCCACCCAGGGGUGCCUCCAAACCACCGUGAACGACUUCUGGGCCAUGGUGUACCAAGAGAACACACAUGUCAUUGUCAUGACCACCAAAGAAGUGGAGAGAGGAAGGAAUAAAUGUUUCCAUUAUUGGCCUGAUAAGAACUGCACCAAAGACUACGGCUACAUCAGUGUCAGGAACGUCAGCGAACUGGAAGCGCAGGGCUACCACAUCCGGGAGCUGGAGAUCGCACGGCUAGACCGGGAAGAGCAGCCUAGACUGAUCUGGCACUUCCAGUACAUCAGCUGGCCCGAUCACGGUGUGCCCAAUGAGCCUGGAGGGGUCCUCAGCUUCCUAGAUCAAGUCAACAAAGCCCAGAGGAGUGUUCCCGGCACUGGGCCCAUUGUGGUGCACUGCAGCGCUGGGAUUGGACGCACUGGGACCAUCAUCGUCAUAGACAUCCUGGUGGACACCAUUCACAGGCAAGGUCUGGACUGUGACAUUGACAUCCCCAAGACCAUCCAGAUGGUGCGAAGGCAGCGGUCAGGAAUGGUGCAAACAGAGGCUCAGUACAAGUUUGUCUACAUGGCCGUCCAGCAUUACAUUGCAACGGAGCAGAAGGAGCUGGAAGAGGAACAGAGAAGUAUGAGGAAGGAGAAAGAAUACUUGAAUAUCCGCUACCCACCAAUGGAACAACCCAGAGGCAAAGCUCGUCCCCCUUCGCCGAGAGUCCAAAUGGGAGUCGAUGACGAAUCUGCCGCCGUUUACGAGAACCUCAACGUCAAAGCCGCAAAGGUUUCAGGGAUAACUCAUUCAGGGAGAUAGCAGCUUGGGAACCAAAUGUUUACUGGACUGCCGCAGGAGUUUGCCACCAACAUGGUUGCUUAUUUUACCACCAAACCAAGUUCUUUUCAUUCCCAAAGCGCCUUGGAUUCUUCCCCUUAUUCAAAAAGUCAGAUAAGCUGCUCUUCGGAGAGCGGAGAGCGACUCUUUAGGGAGAGAUCAGAUCGUGGCCUAAUUUAUUUCAGGAGAGAUUCAACUCUUUUUGACAGAUUACUUGGAGUUGAUCUGCAAGUGCCUCUGGACGUCUGUUGCUGAGCAAGAGCCCGAGAGGCUUGCAGAGACCUCUUGGCACCACGUCAACAUCCUCCUCCUCCUCCUCCUCCUUUCAUCUCAUGCCAUUGCCAUUCAAUGAUCAAGAGUCAGUGUGUCUCCAAGGAGGAAGAGUCACCGGAAAACAAAAUCUGUGGCUCAAAGGCUGCCUCAUCCCCUGGAAGCCAUUCCAAUUAUGCUUUAGCCAUCUCUCAGCAGUUCUCAGAUUAUCUCAUGGUGGCGGGGUAUAAAUAAAGUUUAUUAUUAUUAUUAUUA